UACGGGGGGGGCAAGCGUUGUUCGGAAUUACUGGGCGUAAAGGGCUCGUAGGCGGCCAACUAAGUCAGACGUGAAAUCCCUCGGCUUAACCGGGGAACUGCAUCUGAUACUGGAUGGCUUGAGAUUGGGAGAGGGAUGCGGAAUUCCAGGUGUAGCGGUGAAAUGCGUGGAUAUCUGGAGGAACACCGGUGGCGAAGGCGGCAUCCUGGACCAACACUGACGCUGAGGAGCGAAAGCCAGGGGAGCAAACGGG
rnacentral:rRNA from 1 species